rnacentral:misc_RNA from 1 species
GAUGAAGAACGCAGCGAAAUGCGAUACGUAAUGUGAAUUGCAGAAUUCAGUGAAUCAUCGAGUCUUUGAACGCACAUUGCGCCCCCUGGUAUUCCGGGGGGCAUGCCUGUCCGAGCGUCAUUGCUGCCCUCAAGCACGGCUUGUGUGUUGGGCCUCCGUCCGCCUCCCGGGGGACGGGGCCGAAAGGCAGCGGCGGCACCGCGUCCGGUCCUCGAGCGUAUGGGGCUUCGUCACCCGCUCUUGUAGGCCCGGCCGGCGCUUGCCGACACAUCAAUCUUUUUUCCAGGUUGACCUCGGAUCAGGUAGGGAUACCCGCUGAACUUAAGCAUAUCAAUAAGCGGAGGA